AUUGAACGCUGGCGGCAGGCCUAACACAUGCAAGUCGAGCGGAUGAAGGGAGCUUGCUCCUGGAUUCAGCGGCGGACGGGUGAGUAAUGCCUAGGAAUCUGCCUGGUAGUGGGGGAUAACGUCCGGAAACGGGCGCUAAUACCGCAUACGUCCUGAGGGAGAAAGUGGGGGAUCUUCGGACCUCACGCUAUCAGAUGAGCCUAGGUCGGAUUAGCUAGUUGGUGGGGUAAAGGCCUACCAAGGCGACGAUCCGUAACUGGUCUGAGAGGAUGAUCAGUCACACUGGAACUGAGACACGGUCCAGACUCCUACGGGAGGCAGCAGUGGGGAAUAUUGGACAAUGGGCGAAAGCCUGAUCCAGCCAUGCCGCGUGUGUGAAGAAGGUCUUCGGAUUGUAAAGCACCUUAAGUUGGGAGGAAGGGCAGUAAGUUAAUACCUUGCUGUUUUGACGGUACCAACAGAAUAAGCACCGGCUAACUUCGUG
rnacentral:rRNA from 1 species